UAUAGUACCAGGGGUGUUUUACCAGGUGACUAUUACUAGGGGUGUUUUACCAGGUGACUAUAGUACCAGGGGUGUUUUACCAGGUGACUAUAGUACCAGGGGUGUUUUACCAGGUGACUGUAGUACCAGGGGUGUUUUACCAGGUGACUGUAGUACUAGGGGUGUUUUACCAGGUGACUAUAGUACUAGGGGUGUUUUACCAGGUGACUAUAGUACUAGGGGUGUAUUACCAGGUGACUAUAGUACCAGGGGUGUAUUACCAGGUGACUAUAGUACCAGAGGUGUUUUACCAGGUGACUAUUACUAGGGGUGUUUUACCAGGUGACUAUAGUACCAGGGGUGUUUUACCAGGUGACUAUAGUACCAGGGGUGUUUUAC